rnacentral:rRNA from 1 species
GGAAUAUUGGACAAUGGGCGCAAGCCUGAUCCAGCCAUGCCGCGUGUGUGAAGAAGGCCUUCGGGCUGUAAAGCACUUUCAGCGGGGAGGAAGGGUGUUGUGUUAAUAGCACAGCAUUUUGACGUUACCCGCAGAAGAAGCACCGGCUAACUCCGUGCCAGCAGCCGCGGCAAUACGGAGGGUGCAAGCGUUAACAGGAAUUACUGGGCGUAAAGCGCACGUAGGCCGUAUGUUAAGUUGGUUGUGAAAGCCCCGUGCUCAACCUGGGAAUUGCAUUCAAAACUGGCAUGCUAGAGUAUGUGAGAGGGGGGUAGAAUUCCAAGUGUAGCGGUGAAAUGCGUAGAGAUUUGGAGGAAUACCAGUGGCGAAGGCGGCCCCCUGGCACAAUACUGACGCUCAGGUGCGAAAGCGUGGGGAGCAAA